GUGCUUAACACAUGCAAGUCGAGUGCGCGGUGGCAAUACUGGCGCACGGCGCACGGGUGCGUAACACGUGGGUAACCUGCCCUCCAAAGGGGGAUAACCCGCCGAAAGGCGGGCUAAUACCGCAUGACAUUCCGGUGGCUUCGGACGCCGGAAUCAAAGCCCGCAAGGGCGUUGGAGGAGGGGCCCGCGCCCGAUUAGCUAGUUGGUGAGGUAACGGCUCACCAAGGCUAUGAUCGGUAGCCGGUCUGAGAGGAUGGCCGGCCACACUGGAACUGAGACACGGUCCAG
rnacentral:rRNA from 1 species